rnacentral:rRNA from 1 species
AAUUAUUCAAUGGCCGCAGUAUUUUAACUGUGCGAAGGUAGCAUAAUAAUUAGUUUUUUAAUUGAGAACUGGUAUGAAUGGUUGGACGAGAAAAUAGCUGUCUCAAUUUAAUUUAAAUUAGAAUUUUAUUUUUAAGUUAAAAAGCUUAAAUAUUUUUAAAAGACGAGAAGACCCUAUAGAGUUUUAUAUUAAAAUUAUAUUUAAUUUAUAAAGUAUUAGUUUUAUUUUAUAUGGUUUUAAUAUUUUAUUGGGGUGAUAUAAAAAUUUAAUAAACUUUUUAUUUUUUAGACCAUUGAUAUAUGAAUAAAUGAUCCAUUUUUUAUGAUUAAAAGAUUAAAUUACCUUAGGGAUAACAGCGUAAUUUUUUUUUAGAGUUCUUAUCGAAAAAAAAGUUUGCGACCUCGAUGUUGGAUUAAAAUAAACUUUUGGCGCAGUAGCUUUAUAGGUUAGGUCUGUUCGACCUUUAAAAUUUUACAUGAUCUGAGUUUAAACCGGCGUAAGCCAGGUUGGUUUCUAUCUUUAAAUAAUUAAAAUAUUUUAGUACGAGAGGACCAAGUAUUUAUAAAUUUUGUUUUAUUAAUUGAAUUAUACUAAUAUACUAG